rnacentral:lncRNA from 1 species
UUUUUCUUGUAUUUUGGUAUUAUUACAUACCCAGUGUAUAAUUCCUUAUCCCCGAUCCUUCCCAACUUUCACAACCCCAUAAGUUAAAACAGACAGAAAGCACCGGACUGUCUGAGAAUUCUGUGGUGCUUGAGAAACAAAGAGACAGUAGUAGACUAGUUAUUAGAAAAUGUGCAGCAAACCAACUUUUCCAAGAGCUCUUUUGAAUUGAAAAUGAGCAGUCACAUUAUUUCUGUUGAUGUUUUUGUUCUGUUUUACUGUCAGAACCCAAAAGUAUAAAAUAAAAUUAAAGCCCCUGGUUUUCAAAUAGAUGAGUCAAAUACAAACUGCCCAGUUCUUAAGGAUAGUUUAUAAAUUAAUAGUUGUUGUUCAGAAUCAUCGGCGCAAGUAGGCAGUUAAGUACCUAAAAGUUAGUUUUCAUAGUGAAGAGAUUCUUGAUGAAAAUGUUGAAAAGAAUAAGAAAUUUUAAAAUUUAGUUCUGCUGCACAUAUUCUGAUGCCAUGUGUCUAUACUGAGCUAAGACCCUAUAAAACAUGUUUAGGGGGGAUUAUUUGAUAUAGUCACCCUCCUCAUUCCUAUGUUUGCCUGAUUUUUUAAAAAUUUCCCUUUCUGGAUUAUACUACUACAACAGAAAGCACUGGUUAUGUAAUAAGUUACUGCAUUGCUUUGGUUGGGUAAAAGCAAGAGUUUGUAUUUUUCUUGUUUCUUAUUUUCUUAACCCUUAACUCCUGCUGAGGUCAUAACAACCUCAGUGUAAGCUCUAUGUCCAUCAUACUGUUAACUGAAACAAAUGGGGGGAGGGGGGAGGGAAAUACAGUCCUGCCAUUGCCUACCAGUAGGAGAGUCCAAACAGAACACUCUUUUGAGUAGCGAUUAUUUAAUUUGCCCAGUCAAGGCACCGUGUUUAUAUACUAUUUCACAUUGAAUUUGAUUAUGCCCUACAGACCUGGCUGGUCAAGGAUUUGAUAUACACAUAUUGGCUUGGGAUUCGAGCUUUCUUUUUUAUUUAAAUAAAAAUUUAUAUAUAUUAUAUAUAUACAUAUAUACAUAGCUAUAUCUGUAUAUAUAUUGGGUAUGUUUUAAGGAUUUUUUCGCAUGAGCGCAGCUGUUGCGAUAAAAUGACUGGGAGGUAGAAGCACUGAAUGAAGAUGAGGCAUUUUUUUUCAGUUGAUAUCCAUAUUUUCCUUUUUAAAAAUACACACUUGCUUUUUUUGCUUUUUGUUUGUUUUCUUUUUUGCUUAAAACCCUCUUAUAUGUAAGUGCUUAUUGUUUUUUGGGAGAAGGAAAGAAACUUUGUGUGUCUGACAGAGUCCCAAGAUUUUUCAUUUCUUUGUGUAACUAUAAAAGGCAACAUUCUUGGCCUCCAACAUUCUGUAGGCAGAUUUGGGCAGUCUUAUUUCUCCUUUGGACAUGUUAGAUAAUUUAUAAAUUUUAGAAGCAGUUGGUUCAGCUUGGAACUCAGAAUGAUUCUGAUAUUGGAAAGGAAUUUAUGAGUAUUGAUUUUGUUGACGUUCAGAAUAAAAUUAAAAUUCUAUUUUGGAACUCCAUUGAGACAUCUAAUAAGUCAACUUAUUUUUAUAUCUUUCAAAUACACUCCUUGCUUUCACCAUUUUGAUUUGGUAGGUUAGGCAGGAAUAGGUGUUAACUUAUUCUAACUUUAUUACUAUUCUGAAUAAAACUAGAAAAGCCACAGUUGAAUUGACUUAAAAUAUUCUUUCGCUUUUUAAGAUAAUUUCAUUGGGGAUGGGGAUGGGAGGCAGAUCUCUUAAAUUGUAGCCUUAAUUCUAGCUAUAACCUCAGUAAGGACCCACACACUCUAGAGGAAAUCUAGUUGGCAGAAAGGCAAAAGAAUGAUAUCCUGUUCUCAUUGUGCAUAUGACUUACCUAUUUAAAUUGGUCACUGCUUUUUAUCUCAUGGAAAUUCUUAAAACUUUCUUAGUGUUCAUAAGCAGUUUUAGGAAUUAAAUAAAACCUCCAAAGUUUGGAUUUUUUUUUUUUCUUUUCUUUUCCUUUUCUCUGUGAUACACUUUGUAAAAUGAUGAACCUAUAAGGGUAAGUGGCCUAUUUGGGCAAAACUACUUGAUUCUUUAAAAAAAAAAAAAAAAAAAAAAA